AACCGAAACGCUCCUCAUGGAGCGUCUGCCGAGAACGACCACUCGGCACUGAUGAGGUAGGUCACG
rnacentral:hammerhead_ribozyme from 1 species